rnacentral:misc_RNA from 1 species
AACACCAUCACGUGCGCUUGAGCGAGUUGAGAUUGCCCGAGACCACACACAGCCGCGAUACCACGCCGACGCACGGGCGCUUGCGCCAUCGCGUUGUGAUGCUUGCCUGCGCCGGAAUCCUUCUCUUUAUCGGACUGGGCUUUGUCGAUUUCCUGUCGCGGGUGCCGCCGUCGGAGGAAAAGCCGUCGCGCAAUGCCGAUGGCAUCNNNNNNNNNNNNNCUCGUCACGAGUCUCGGAUGCGCUGGAUCUGCUCUCGGCGGGCUAUGGCCGCAGGCUUCUGAUCUCCGGGGUGCAUCCGA